AUUGAACGCUGGCGGCAUGCCUUACACAUGCAAGUCGAACGGCAGCACGGGUGCUUGCACCUGGUGGAGAGUGGCGAACGGGUGAGUAAUACAUUGGAACGUACCUUAUCGUGGGGGAUAACAAAUUGACAAAUUUGCCACUACCGCACAAUACUCUGAGGAGGAAAGCGGGGGAUUCGUAAGAACCACGUGUGAUUAGACAGGACGAUGGCUGAUUAGCUAGUUAGUGAGGUAAAGGUCCACCAAGGCAACGAUCAGUAGCAGGUCUGAGAGGAUGAUCUGCCACACUGGAACUGAGAAACGGUCCAGACUCCUACGGGAGGCAGCAGUGGGGAAUUUUGGACAAUGGACGAAAGUCUGAUCCAGCAAUGCCGCGUGAGUGAAGAAGGCCUUCGGGUUGUAAAGCUCUUUUGUCAGUGAAGAGAACUUUAGUAAUAACACUAUUAAAGCAUGACGGUAACUGAAGAAUAAGCCACGGCUAACUACGUGCCAGCCGCCGCGGUAA
rnacentral:rRNA from 1 species